UCAGUAAUAAAAGUGCUGUUUGAAUCACAUGUAAAUGAAUCACAUGUAAAUGAACUAUAUGAAAAUAAAUAAAUUAAUUAAAGACAAAAGUGCUGUAUGUAUCUAGAUAAGGAAACGUAUGCAAGUGCCGCUUACCUCCCCAGAAGUUCUCCUCCUGCGAUCCUGUAUCACUAGAGUAUUCGCAUUACUUCCUGGAACUAGAGUAGAACCGAUACUCGUUCUUGGUCCAACUAACAUGUAGCGUUUAUCUCCGGAUCUGUACUGGAUACUGUGACACAGUGUCCCAUCGUAAUUUGUAUCUUGUAAAUACUUGGAGGAAUAGUCUGUAGAUUUGGAGCACUGCAUUACAAUCAGCACAAUGAUACUGAUGAUGAAAAGAAAUGAAACCAAACCCAAGGUAAUGAUCAAAUAAAAUGUAACAUUAUUUUCUUCCUCUUCUUUUACAGCGUUGUUAACAUCGGACGCUGCAAAAGCCUCUUUGGGCUCAACAAGUUUGAUAAUCACAGUCGCUGUUGCUGAAAACGAAACAUUUCCAUUGUCUUUGACCAAUAUGACCAGUUUAUGUUCAGCCUCAUCUGUUUCUGUGAAUGAGCGAAGGGUCCUUAUCUGUCCUGUAUAACGGUCCAAAGCAAAGAGACUGUGGUCACUCACUUCCUGCAGUGAAAAUAAUAACCAGCCGUUGUAUCCUAUAUCCGCGUCAUAGGCUCGCACUUUAGUCACCAAAUGCCCUGCGUUGACAUUGCGGGGAAUCUCCUCCACACCUUCAGCAGAACCGUUAGCACUGACUGGAUAUAAGAUCACUGGAACGUUGUCGUUCUGAUCCAGAAUAAACACUUUCACUGUGACGUUGCUGCUUAGUGACGGAGUUCCAGAAUCUGAAGCGAGUACGUGGAACUGGAACGUUUUUGUAGUUUCGAAGUCAAAGCUCUUAAGUGCACGUAUAACACCUGUCUCUGUAUUAAUAUUCAAAACUGACCACAUGUCAUUAGACCUCGCUUCACCUUUCAUGAUUUGAUACGUGAUUUCCGCAUUUUCAUUCAAGUCUUUGUCAGUUGCGCUCACCGAGAAUAUGGAAGAGCCUGGAACAUUGUUUUCUGUUAAAUAAAGCUCAAGUGGAUUUUGAGGAAAUUCUGGAAGGUUAUCAUUUAUGUCUGAUACCUGCACACUCAGAGAUUUAAAAGAGGACAAAGCAGGUUGGCCCAUGUCUAUAGCCGUUAAUACAAUAUCAUAGUGGGGUAUGAGCUCUCUGUCUAAGUGUUUACUUGUAAUUAAUGAAUACACGUUAUCUUCAACAGAUGGCUUUAACUCAAAUGGCAAACCAAGUGAAAUGCUACAAACGAUUUUGCCAUUAAUUCCAGAGUCUUUGUCUGUAACACUAAUUAGAGAAAUGACAGUUCCUGGUUUUGAGUCCUCUUGAACAGUAUUUAGUAUUGAAGUUACUUCUAUUUCAGGUUUAUUGUCGUUGACGUCUAUUAUUUUGAUGAUAACCCUGCAGUCGACAGAGAGCGGAGGCUGUCCUUUAUCGGAGGCCUGUAUGUUUAAUCUAUAAGUCUGAGUGUCCUCAAAAUCGAUCUCAUUUUUGACUUGAAUUUCUCCAGUAAUGCGGUCUACUUGAAAAAUAUCUUGGAUUUUACUUUUUGUAUUUCUACCCCAUGAAUACUCUAUUUCUCCAUUGCUGCUUUCAUCGGGAUCAGUAGCAUUCACUCUCAUUACAAUCUUUCCAACAGAGACGUCUUCGUGUAAAGAUAACGAGUACACGUCUUGGCUACACACAGGUUGAUUGUCAUUUAUAUCAAGAACAGUUAUAGUUAUGUUAAGAUUCCCAGAUUUUGGUGGAUUUCCACCGUCUAGAGCCGUUAAAAGUAAUUCAUGUUCAAUGGUACAUUCCCGAUCCAAAUAUUUUUGUAACACUAGCGACGGAAUUCUAUCCUCAUCACCGUCUCUUGUUUCCAAGCUAAAGUGUUCGUUUUGACUUAAUUUGUAAGCGCGAAUAGAAUUAGUACCAAUAUCUGGAUCUCGCGCUGGUUGCAAAUCAAGUCGUGCACCUGGAGCUUUAUUUUCUGCUACCUCUAAAUGUAAGUGUUUAUCUGCAAAACUGGGAGCGUGGUCGUUUAUGUCAACUAUUUCAAUACCAAUAUAAUGAAUUUGAAGAGGAUUCUCAACAGCAAUCUUUAUGUUUAUCAAGCAGACAUCAUUACCAAUACAUAGGUUCUCUCUGUCGAUUUUCUUUUGAACGUACAAGAUUCCAUUGUCCUGGUUUACCUUGAAAAUCGCGUCCUUAGAUCCAGAUACGAUACGCAAUCGUCUGUCCACCAAAGUACCGACAUCAAGACCCAAAUCCUUAGCAAUAUUUCCCACAACUGUUCCUUCUUUCACCUCCUCCGGAACAGAGUACCUUAUCUGACCAGAAACCCGCUCCACGAAGCACAAUAGCAAAGAGAAACACAGAGCAAUCCGGCAGUAGUCCCAUUUUCGUAUUUGUCUGCCGUCUUCCAUCGCGGACGGAAAUAUUCAAAUUAUUCAAGAACAAACUGUCAAUAAUUUUCAUGAAUCGGGGUCGGAUAAAGGUUAUAAAUAUAUCCGACGAAUGUAACAAAAACAGGAUCAAACAUAAACCCAAUAAAGAAAUCGCUCUGCUCCAUACACCCAUCACACACACACUUUCCAGCCUGGAAAACAGCGGAAAAAAGGGUAGGGCUUUAUACUAUAUUGGUGUAAUACUGACGCCAUGUGGAGCACAAUCAAGCCAGCAUUUCUUAUUUUUUUUGC
ensembl:lncRNA